AUAUAUAUAUAUAUUUUUUUUUUUGAAGAUGGUGUCUCGCACUGUCGCCCAGGUUGGAGUGCAAUGGCACAAUCUCGGCUCACUGCAACCUCUGCCUCCUGGGCUCACACGAUUCUCCUGCCUCAGCCUCCUGAGUAGCUGGGACUACAGGCACACACCACCACACCCAGCUAAUUUUUUGUAUUUUUAGUAGAGAUGGGGUUUCACUAUGUUGGCAUGGAACCACCCUCAGAAUGUGUGAAGUUUCUGAGAUUUACUGACAAGGGCAUAUUGGAUCCAGUCUGAUAGUUCUAGAAGUGGGCUUACUUUGGGGCCAGUUAUAGGGAAAAAGGGAAUUAUAUCAAAGAUGGGACUUUCCAUUGCCACUACU
rnacentral:lncRNA from 1 species